GACGAACGCUGGCGGCGUGCUUAACACAUGCUUUUCGAACGGAAAGGCCCUGCUUUUGUGGGGUGCUCGAGUGGCGAACGGGUGAGUAACACGUGAGUAACCUGCCCUUGACUUUGGGAUAACUUCAGGAAACUGGGGCUAAUACCGGAUAGGAGCUCCUGCUGCAUGGUGGGGGUUGGAAAGUUUCGGCGGUUGGGGAUGGACUCGCGGCUUAUCAGCUUGUUGGUGGGGUAGUGGCUUACCAAGGCUUUGACGGGUAGCCGGCCUGAGAGGGUGACCGGCCACAUUGGGACUGAGAUACGGCCCAGACUCCUACGGGAGGCAGCAGUGGGGAAUAUUGCACAAUGGGCGGAAGCCUGAUGCAGCAACGCCGCGUGCGGGAUGACGGCCUUCGGGUUGUAAACCGCUUUCGCCUGUGACGAAGCGUGAGUGACGGUAAUGGGUAAAGAAGCACCGGCUAACUACGUGCCAGCAGCCGCGGUGAUACGUAGGGUGCGAGCGUUGUCCGGAUUUAUUGGGCGUAAAGGGCUCGUAGGUGGUUGAUCGCGUCGGAAGUGUAAUCUUGGGGCUUAACCCUGAGCGUGCUUUCGGAUACGGGUUGACUUGAGGAAGGUAGGGGAGAAUGGAAUUCCUGGUGGAGCGGUGGAAUGCGCAGAUAUCAGGAGGAACACCAGUGGCGAAGGCGGUUCUCUGGGCCUUUCCUGACGCUGAGGAGCGAAAGCGUGGGGAGCGAACAGGCUUAGAUACCCUGGUAGUCCACGCUGUAAACGGUGGGUACUAGGUGUGGGGUCCAUUCCACGGGUUCCGUGCCGUAGCUAACGCUUUAAGUACCCCGCCUGGGGAGUACGGCCGCAAGGCUAAAACUCAAAGGAAUUGACGGGGCCCCGCACAAGCGGCGGAGCAUGCGGAUUAAUUCGAUGCAACGCGUAGAACCUUACCUGGGUUUGACAUGGAUCGGGAGUGCUCAGAGAUGGGUGUGCCUCUUUUGGGGUCGGUUCACAGGUGGUGCAUGCCUGUCGUCAGCUCGUGUCGUGAGAUGUUGGGUUAAGUCCCGCAACGAGCGCAACCCUUGUUCACUGUUGCCAGCACGUUAUGGUGGGGACUCAGUGGAGACCGCCGGGGUCAACUCGGAGGAAGGUGGGGAUGACGUCAAGUCCUCAUGCCCCUUAUGUCCAGGGCUUCACGCAUGCUACAAUGGCUGGUACAGAGAGUGGCGAGCCUGUGAGGGUGAGCGAAUCUCGGAAAGCCGGUCUCAGUUCGGAUUGGGGUCUGCAACUCGACCUCAUGAAGUCGGAGUCGCUAGUAAUCGCAGAUCAGCAACGCUGCGGUGAAUACGUUCCCGGGGCU
rnacentral:rRNA from 1 species